AUCAUGGCUCAGAUUGAACGCUGGCGGCAGGCCUAACACAUGCAAGUCGAGCGGUAACAUUUCAAAAGCUUGCUUUUGAAGAUGACGAGCGGCGGACGGGUGAGUAAUGCCUGGGAAUAUGCCUUGAUGUGGGGGAUAACCAUUGGAAACGAUGGCUAAUACCGCAUAAUGCCUACGGGCCAAAGAGGGGGAUCUUCGGACCUCUCGCGUCAAGAUUAGCCCAGGUGGGAUUAGCUAGUUGGUGAGGUAAUGGCUCACCAAGGCGACGAUCCCUAGCUGGUCUGAGAGGAUGAUCAGCCACACUGGAACUGAGACACGGUCCAGACUCCUACGGGAGGCAGCAGUGGGGAAUAUUGCACAAUGGGCGCAAGCCUGAUGCAGCCAUGCCGCGUGUGUGAAGAAGGCCUUCGGGUUGUAAAGCACUUUCAGUCGUGAGGAAGGUGGUAGUGUUAAUAGCACUAUCAUUUGACGUUAGCGACAGAAGAAGCACCGGCUAACUCCGUGCCAGCAGCCGCGGUAAUACGGAGGGUGCGAGCGUUAAUCGGAAUUACUGGGCGUAAAGCGCAUGCAGGUGGUUUGUUAAGUCAGAUGUGAAAGCCCGGGGCUCAACCUCGGAAUUGCAUUUGAAACUGGCAGACUAGAGUACUGUAGAGGGGGGUAGAAUUUCAGGUGUAGCGGUGAAAUGCGUAGAGAUCUGAAGGAAUACCGGUGGCGAAGGCGGCCCCCUGGACAGAUACUGACACUCAGAUGCGAAAGCGUGGGGAGCAAACAGGAUUAGAUACCCUGGUAGUCCACGCCGUAAACGAUGUCUACUUGGAGGUUGUGGCCUUGAGCCGUGGCUUUCGGAGCUAACGCGUUAAGUAGACCGCCUGGGGAGUACGGUCGCAAGAUUAAAACUCAAAUGAAUUGACGGGGGCCCGCACAAGCGGUGGAGCAUGUGGUUUAAUUCGAUGCAACGCGAAGAACCUUACCUACUCUUGACAUCCAGAGAAGCCAGCGGAGACGCAGGUGUGCCUUCGGGAACUCUGAGACAGGUGCUGCAUGGCUGUCGUCAGCUCGUGUUGUGAAAUGUUGGGUUAAGUCCCGCAACGAGCGCAACCCUUAUCCUUGUUUGCCAGCGAGUAAUGUCGGGAACUCCAGGGAGACUGCCGGUGAUAAACCGGAGGAAGGUGGGGACGACGUCAAGUCAUCAUGGCCCUUACGAGUAGGGCUACACACGUGCUACAAUGGCGCAUACAGAGGGCUGCCAACCAGCGAUGGUGAGCGAAUCCCAAAAAGUGCGUCGUAGUCCGGAUUGGAGUCUGCAACUCGACUCCAUGAAGUCGGAAUCGCUAGUAAUCGUGGAUCAGAAUGCCACGGUGAAUACGUUCCCGGGCCUUGUACACACCGCCCGUCACACCAUGGGAGUGGGCUGCAAAAGAAGUGGGUAGUUUAACCUUUCGAGGAGGACGCUCACCACUUUGUGGUUCAUGACUGGGGUGAAGUCGUAACAAGGUAACCGUA
rnacentral:rRNA from 1 species